AUUGAACGCCGGCGGCAGGCCUAACACAUGCAAGUCGAGCGGAUGAGGAAAGCUUGCUUUUCGAUUCAGCGGCGGACGGGUGAGUAAUGCCUAGGAUUCUGCCUGUUAGUGGGGGAUAACUCGGGGAAACUCGGGCCAAUACCGCAUACGUCCUACGGGAGAAAGUGGGGGAUCUUCGGACCUCACGCUAACAGAUGAGCCUAGGUCGGAUUAGCUAGUAGGUGAGGUAAUGGCUCACCUAGGCGACGAUCCGUAACUGGUCUGAGAGGAUGAUCAGUCACACUGGAACUGAGACACGGUCCAGACUCCUACGGGAGGCAGCAGUGGGGAAUAUUGGACAAUGGGCGAAAGCCUGAUCCAGCCAUGCCGCGUGUGUGAAGAAGGUCUUCGGAUUGUAAAGCACUUUAAGCUGGGAGGAAGGGUAUUCACCUAAUACGUGGGUACUUUGACGUUACCAACAGAAUAAGCACCGGCUAACUCUGUGCCAGCCGCCGCCGUAAAAC
rnacentral:rRNA from 1 species